UACCUGCAGCUCAAGUAGUGACCACUAUUAUUGGGCCUAAAACGUUCGUAGCCUGUUUGGUAAAUGCCUGGGUAAAUCGUGUAGCUUAACUAUACGAAUUCCGGGUAGACUGCCAAACUUGAAACCGGGAGAAGCUAGGGGUACUUCUGGGGUAGAGGUGAAAUUCUGUAAUCCUAGGGGGACCACCAGUGGCGAAGGCGUCUAGCUAGAACGGGUUUGACGGUGAGGAACGAAGCCCUGGGGGCGCAAACCGGAUUAGAUACCCGGGUAGUCCAGGGUGUAAACGCUGCUUGCUUGAUGUUAGUUGGGCUACGAGCCCAAUUAGUGUCGGAGAGAAGUUGUUAAGCAAGCUGCCUGGGAAGUACGAUCGCAAGAUUGAAACUUAAAGGAAUUGGCGGGGGAGCACAGCAACGGGUGGAGCGUGCGGUUU
rnacentral:rRNA from 1 species